rnacentral:rRNA from 1 species
UCAAUAAGCGGAGGAAAAGAAACUAACAAGGAUUCCCCUAGUAACGGCGAGUGAAGCGGGAAGAGCUCAAAUUUGUAAUCUGGCCGGUCUCCGGUCCGAGUUGUAAUCUGUAGAGCUGUCACUGUGCCAGUCCUCUCAUGAGUCCGUUGGAAUACGGCGUCAAAGAGGGUGAGAACCCCGUUCUUGGUGAGGUCUCUGGUGCUCUGUGUGAUGGUCUCGAAGAGUCGAGUUGUUUGGGAAUGCAGCUCAAAUUGGGAGGUAGAUUCCUUCUAAAGCUAAAUAUUGGCGAGAGACCGAUAGCAAACAAGUACCGUGAGGGAAAGAUGAAAAGCACUUUGGAAAGAGAGUUAACAGUACGUGAAAUUGUUGAAAAGGAAACGAUUGAAGCCAGACGUGCCCAACCGUGUUCAGCCUUUUGGUGUACUCACGGUGGCAGGCUAACAUCGGUUUUGAGGGUCGGAUAAGGGUAGGGGGAAUGUGACAGCCUCGGCUGUGUUAUAGCCCCUUGCUUGAUACGGCUUUUGAGACUGAGGACCGCGGCUCGCCUCAUGGCAGGGGACUCGUCCUCUUCCGAGCCUAGGAUGUUGGCGUAA